rnacentral:rRNA from 1 species
CCUACGGGAGGCAGCAGUGGGGAAUAUUGCACAAUGGGGGAAACCCUGAUGCAGCGACGCCGCGUGAGUGAGGAAGUAUUUCGGUAUGUAAAGCUCUAUCAGCAGGGAAGAAAAUGACGGUACCUGACUAAGAAGCCCCGGCUAACUACGUGCCAGCAGCCGCGGUAAUACGUAGGGGGCAAGCGUUAUCCGGAUUUACUGGGUGUAAAGGGAGCGUAGACGGAAUUGCAAGUCUGAUGUGAAAAUCCGGGGCCCAACCCCGGAACUGCAUUGGAAACUGUAUUUCUAGAGUGUCGGAGAGGCAAGUGGAAUUCCUGGUGUAGCGGUGAAAUGCAUAGAUAUCACGCAGAACUCCGAUUGCGAAGGCAGCAUACCGGCGCGCAACUGACGCUCAUGCACGAAAGCGUGGGUAUCGAACAGGAUUAGAUACCCCAGUAGUC